AAUAACAGGUCUGUGAUGCCCUUAGAUGUCCGGGGCCGCACGCGUGCUACACUGAAGUGGUCAUCGUGCAUACUGUUUCCUGCUCCGAAAGGAGUGGGUAACCGCUUGAACCCAUUUCGUGAUGGGGAUUGGGCAUUGUAAUUAUUGCCCAUGAACGAGGAAUUCCCAGUAAGCGUGAGUCAUUAGCUUGCGUUGACUACGUCCCUGCCCUUUGUACACACCGCCCGUCGCUCCUACCGAUUGAAUGGUCCGGUGAAGUGUUCGGAUCGC
rnacentral:ncRNA from 1 species